UACGGGGGGGGCAAGCGUUGUUCGGAAUUACUGGGCGCAAAGGGCUCGUAGGCGGCCAACUAAGUCGGAUGUGAAAUCCCCAGGCUCAACCUGGGAACUGCAUCCGAUACUGGAUGGCUUGAAUCCGGGAGAGGGAUGCAGAAUUCCAGGUGUAGCGGUGAAAUGCGUAGAUAUCUGGAGGAAUACCGGUGGCGAAGGCGGCAUCCUGGACCGGCAUUGACGCUGAGGAGCGAAAGCUAGGGGAGCAAACGGG
rnacentral:rRNA from 1 species